AAAUGGUGUCACCUUUAUUGUUGCUCUUGUCUGCCAAUUAAUCCUAAACAUUUUUUUUUAAACACACCAAAGUCCUUGAUGUGAAGUAGUUGACACAGAUGAGCCUAUGUCACAAGGUGGUCAUGAGGUUAAGUUUUAAAGGGUCAGCAGAAGAAUUAUUAAAGCCAUGGCUUACAUAGUUCUGUUAGUGUUAGCAUGUGGAUGACAAAGAAUAACACUAUGCAAUUUAUUUCUUAUUUUAUAAGCUUGUUGACAUGAUCAAAUCCCUUAGAAGGACGUUUGAGUUCAAGGUCAGCAUGUCGUGCUGGACUGAUAUCCACUCCUGAUAGCUGAAGAGCCUUAACAUCAGCCCCUUUUUUGUGCUGUUGCAGGAGAAUGAAGUACGAGUUUCUUCGACAACAAAGUAUACUACAGCACAGAAGAUCCCGGAGGUCUUAGGUCGUCGUCCGUGAGCUUCACUCCUCAUCUAACCCUUUCUGAGAUGAAGAA